CCCUUGUCCGCUUAGCUGCGCUGUCUCCCCAGGGUCUAAUACCUCUCCCUAUACAACCAAGCAUUCUGCUAGCAUUUCCUGCUGCUCUAUUACAUUGUCUGCCUACCUUUAGGUCAUCAGAAAUAAUCACCCCUAAAUCCCUUUCCUCAUAUGUUGAGGUUAGGACUCUUAUCAAAUAUUCUGUACUCUGCCCUUGGGUUUUUACGUCCAAGAUGCAUUAUCUUGCACUUAUCCACAUUAAAUGUCAGUUGCCACAAUUCUGACCAUUUUUCUAGUUUACCUAAAUCAUUUGUCAUUUGGCUUAUCCCUCCUGGAACAUCAACCCUGUUACAUAUCUUAGUAUCAUCAGCAAAAAGACAUACCUUACCAUCAAGACCUUCUGCAAUAUCACUAAUAAAAAUAUUAAAGAGAAUGGGUCCAAGUAGAGAUCCCUGAGGUACCCCACUGGUGACAAGUCCAAGCUUCGAAUAUAUUCCAUUAACUACAACCCUCUGUUGCCUGUCACUCAG